rnacentral:rRNA from 1 species
UACGUAGGGUCCGAGCGUUGUCCGGAAUUAUUGGGCGUAAAGAGCUCGUAGGCGGUGUGUCGCGUCGGCCGUGAAAACCUGCAGCUUAACUGUGGGCUUGCGGUCGAUACGGGCAUCACUGGAGUUCGGCAGGGGAGACUGGAAUUCCUGGUGUAGCGGUGAAAUGCGCAGAUAUCAGGAGGAACACCGGUGGCGAAGGCGGGUCUCUGGGCCGAUACUGACGCUGAGGAGCGAAAGCGUGGGGAGCAAACAGG